rnacentral:rRNA from 1 species
UACGGAGGGUGCAAGCGUUGUCCGGAUUUAUUGGGUGUAAAGGGUGCGUAGGCGGUUCUUUAAGUCUGGGGUGAAAGCCCGUUGCUCAACAACGGAACUGCCCUGGAAACUGGAGGACUUGAGUACAGACGAGGGUGGCGGAAUGGAUGCUGUAGCGGUGAAAUGCAUAGAUAGCAUCCAGAACCCCGAUUGCGAAGGCAGCUUACUAGGCUGUAACUGACGCUGAGGCACGAAAGCGUGGGGAGCGAACAGG